GGGUCAGUAGGUUGGUCGUGCCACCGGUACGUACUGGCCUCACUGAUUCCUCCUUCCUGAAGAACCGUAAUGCCAUUAAUUUGGUGUUGCGGGGAAACAGGACUGUUACUUUGAAAAAAUUAGAGUGUUUAAAGCAAGCUAACGCUUGUAUACAUUAGCAUGGAAUAAUGAAAUAGGACGAUCGAUCCUAUUUUGUUGGUUUCUAGGAUUGACGUA
rnacentral:rRNA from 1 species